UUUACCCUACUGAUGUCUUGUCGUUGCUAUGGUAAUCCUGCUUAGUACGAGAGGAACCGCAGGUUCAGACAUUUGGUUUAUGUGCUUGGUCGAAAGACCAAUGGUGCGAAGCUACCAUCUGAGGGAUUAAGACUGAAAGCCUCUUAAGUCUGAAUCCCGCCCAGAAAUGCAACGAUACUAUCGGUGCCCCUACGCCGGGAGGCAACGAUAUACUCGGCCCGAAAUCCGAUUUCGGCGGCCGAGACUGGCUAAAGCCACUGCGAUACUGGCCACACCCGCUGUCUUGAAAUUUGGCAGUGGAGGCACAGACACGAUACCACUUGAUUGAGACGUAGGGGUUCUAUAUCGUUUGUAGACGACUUAGAUCUCGGUCGGGGUGCCGUACUUAGUUGAGCAGUUCUUCACUGCGAUCUAUUGAGGCUAAGCCUUUUGACGGGGAGAUAUGU
rnacentral:ncRNA from 1 species